UACAGAGGGUGCAAGCGUUAAUCGGAAUUACUGGGCGUAAAGCGUGCGUAGACGGUAGCGUAAGUCGGGUGUGAAAGCCCCGGGCUCAACCUGGGAAUUGCAUUCGAGACUGCUCUGCUAGGGUGCGGAAGAGGGGAGCGGAAUUUCCGGUGUAGCGGUGAAAUGCGUAGAUAUCGGAAGGAACACCAGUGGCGAAAGCGGCUCCCUGGUCCAGCACCGACGUUCAGGCACGAAAGCGUGGGGAGAAAACAGG
rnacentral:rRNA from 1 species